CCAAUAGCGUAUAUUAAAGUUGUUGCAGUUAAAAAGCUCGUAGUUGAACUUCGGGAUCAAUGGGUCGGUCAUGCCAUCGGUAUGUACUGGUCUCAUUGGUUCUCACCUUCUAAGGAACCAUAAUGUCAUUCAUUUGAUGUUUUGGGGAAUUAGGACUGUUACCUUGAAAAAAUUAGAGUGUUUAAAGCAGGCUAACGCUUGAAUACAUUAGCAUGGAAUAAUGAAAUAGGACAUCGCAUUCUAUUUUGUUGGUUUCUAGGAUCGAUGUAAUGAUUAAUAGGGAUAGUUGGGGGCAUUAGUAUUCAAUUGUCAGAGGUGAAAUUCUUGGAUUUAUUGAAGACUAACUACUGCGAAAGCAUUUGCCAAGGAUGUUUUCAUUAAUCAAGAACGAAAGUUAGGGGAUCGAAGACGAUCAGAUACCGUCGUAGUCUUAACCAUAAACUAUGCCGACUAGGGAUCGGAUGAUGUUGAUUUUUUAAUGACUCAUUCGGCACCUUACG
rnacentral:rRNA from 1 species